CCUACGGGAGGCAGCAGUGGGGAAUAUUGGACAAUGGGCGAAAGCCUGAUCCAGCCAUGCCGCGUGUGUGAAGAAGGUCUUCGGAUUGUAAAGCACUUUAAGUUGGGAGGAAGGGUUGUAGAUUAAUACUCUGCAAUUUUGACGUUACCGACAGAAUAAGCACCGGCUAACUCUGUGCCAGCAGCCGCGGUAAUACAGAGGGUGCAAGCGUUAAUCGGAAUUACUGGGCGUAAAGCGCGCGUAGGUGGUUUGUUAAGUUGGAUGUGAAAUCCCCGGGCUCAACCUGGGAACUGCAUCCAAAACUGGCAAGCUAGAGUAUGGUAGAGGGUGGUGGAAUUUCCUGUGUAGCGGUGAAAUGCGUAGAUAUAGGAAGGAACACCAGUGGCGAAGGCGACCACCUGGACUGAUACUGACACUGAGGUGCGGAAGCGUGGGGAGCAAACAGGAUUAGAUACCCUGGUAGUCCACGCCGUAAACGAUGUCAACUAGCCGUUGGGAGCCUUGAGCUCUUAAGUGGCGCNGCACGACAUAGUAGACGCGNGGAGGACGGCGCGAAGUAAACGUUAAAGUAGAGUAGAGCGNGAGAGNGACGACGACGACGACGAGGGAGGAGG
rnacentral:rRNA from 1 species